rnacentral:rRNA from 1 species
UAGUCCACGCCGUAAACGAUGGAUACUAGCUGUCCGGUCUUCGGACUGGGUGGCCCAGCGAAAGUGAUAAGUAUCCCACCUGGGGAGUACGUUCGCAAGAAUGAAACUCAAAGGAAUUGACGGGGCCCGCACAAGCGGUGGAGCAUGUGGUUUAAUUCGAUGAUACGCGAGGAACCUUACCAGGGCUUAAAUGUAGAUUGACAGGACUAGAGAUAGUUUUUCCUUCGGGCAAUUUACAAGGUGCUGCAUGGUUGUCGUCAGCUCGUGCCGUGAGGUGUCAGGUUAAGUCCUAUAACGAGCGCAACCCCUGUUGUUAGUUGCCAGCACAUUAUGGUGGGAACUCUAGCAAGACUGCCGGUGCAAACCGUGAGGAAGGUGGGGAUGACGUCAAAUCAUCACGGCCCUUACGUCCUGGGGCUACACACGUGCUACAAUGGUAGGUACAGAGAGCAGCCACUGCGCGAGCAGGGAGC